AUGCACCAAUAAAUGUAUGAAUGGAUGGAAGUGAUACAGACAAGAUUAGCAUGACCCCUGCGUAAGGAUGACACGUACAAAUCGAGAAAUGUUCAAAUUAUGU
rnacentral:snRNA from 2 species